CAGAAAACAAGCACCCUCAGUAAACAUGACCUAAUGAGGGUGGUGGCCUUCAACUGCCUGGGAGGUACCAGAAGAACCCUACAAAGAGCCAGGGCUCUCACACAGACAGGCAACACCUGCCAAAGAAGUCUCUGAAAUAUCCUUUUAAUUGACAUAAAACUAUCCUAUUCACCUUUGGGGGCCAAGGAAUUGUCUUUUGAUUUAUUUUCCUUUACUAAAUACUGUGUAAUUAGAUGAAUUCGGAACUCUGUAAGGGGGACAGUUUGUCGUGCCCAGUAGCUUCCCACUGGACUCUGGAGCCUGGCCUGCAAGAGCCAAAUUAUGAUCCUGAUCAACUUAAUCUGAUUGAACUACAGAAAAAUGAGUUGUUACUUAACAAGUUGUUGGAUAGUUGGGAGUCACAAUUAUUGGAGAUCACUGUCCAUAAGACUAGAUUGCUUCCAUCUCCAGAAUGCAUCUGACCCUGAACUCUUAGUCAAACUUGAGAAUUCUAAUAGAAGAGCACUAAAUUGUUCUGCAUCACAGAAGGAAAAGAAUGUGAGCCUUCCAGAGCACUUCAAGACACAAGUAUGCAAAGAAGCAGCUGUGGGAGAGAAGAGGUGAUCCAGGAGACAGGCAGCCUAAAGAAGACAAGGAUAGAUUUAUAAAAGCUGUUAAAACAAUCUUUUAAGAAGCUUAGAGACUAACAUGAAACUGAGUAGUAUAUUGUUAAUUUUGACACUUCUAGGAAAUUAUCAUAAUCCUCUGUUCUAGCUGUUGAGGAAAGGCCAAAUGAGUUUUGAAGAGCAAAAUGACAUUUUCAUCCACCAAGACUUCAAAGCAAUGACUACCAAAAAAAAUUCCUAGAAGUCAUAUAACUUUUCUACUAAUGAAAAAAUUUUUUUGUUAUAUCUUAUUCACUU
rnacentral:lncRNA from 1 species